UACGUAGGGACCGAGCGUUGUCCGGAAUCAUUGGGCGUAAAGAGCGUGUAGGCGGCUUGCUAAGUCUUGCGUGAAAUCUCGGGGCUCAACCCCGAGCGGUCGUGGGAAACUGGCAGGCUAGAGUGCGGGAGAGGAGAAUGGAAUUGGUGUAGCGGUGAAAUGCGCAGAUAUCAGGAAGAACACCCGUGGCUAAGGCGGCUCUCUAGUACGGUACUGACGCUGAGACGCGAAAGCGUGGGGAGCGAACAGG
rnacentral:rRNA from 1 species